CUGCCUUUUGACGAAUGGUUUGGCGAGUGACUGACUGCAAUUUCGAAUCAUGUCAUCACCUUCAGCUGCUAUUGUUGAUCAUACGCAUGAGAAAAUUUACCGCCAUCAAGGACCAAUUUACCCUGCUUAUCUUAUCAGAGGAGAAAAGCCCGCAUUAAAACCGUAACUGCGGUCAUAGGAAUAAUGGAAAACCAACCCACCCUGGUUGAAGCAGAUGCUAUUCAUCACAGAUUGUCUAAUCAAGUGAAUUCAGUUAUACAUCUGCCAUACAGGUGCUAUGAUUGCUACCAAUCAUUCUUUAGUUUGGAGCAACUGGCUCAGCAUUCCCUUGAAAAGCCACUACACAGUGAAGAAAUCUGUUUGAAGUGUGAAACUUCUAUAAUUGUUUUUUUUAAACCUAUACAACCAGUGAGACUUCACUCUUGUAUCAAAUCUAGUAUGUGUCACACUUUACCUGACCUUAAUUUCCACAGUCAGUUUCUGUUUUCUAAGCUACAUUCCUCCUGUGAAAUUCCCGAUUGUACUGUCAUUGGAUGUGAUAUUCAAAGCUGUACAGCAAGUUUUGACUUUACAGUCAGUGGGAUCUUUAAGUAUUUAAAACAUGCCAGCAAAUAUAGGCAUACAACUGUACCCUGUUGCAAAAAAUGUUUGUUAACAGAAUUUCAAGUGACUGUUGGAGGAAAGAGAAUUAUUUCCCAUUACUGCACCAAAAUUGGAAAAGUCAUUUGUAUUGUUAAAACUUGAUAUUCGCGUUUUGAUUAUUCAGAACUACGAUCAUUUAUUUCUCACUUGUAACCGUGAAAUUUCUAUUUAUACGAACCUGCAUGACCCACCCCCUUCCGCAACAUUGGUUACACUCAUCUCGUUUUAUUGCAAUGUUUGGCAACAACGUCUUGUUGUUGAGGAAAUUCUUGCUUGUUUAUCAACAUAACAGGGGUAUACGGAAAAAGAAAAUCAGAUACAGUCGGUAUUGACCCCAUUUCAUGUAUGGCGCGUUGAAUAAUACAUUUGUACCGUUGACCUGUGAUUUGACUAAGCCCAGCUGUGUUCAGCUUUCUAAGAAUUUCUUCCUGUCGUCAAUACGACUCGGAAGGAUACAGCAUAGAUGGAGGAGUAUCCACUAGGAAUUGAAGAAACAGAUGCAGUUCAUCAUCGUUUGGCUGGAGAAUCCCCAGCUGUGGAAAAAAAUUUUCAAUGCUAUGAUUGCAGCCAGUCAUUUCAUUCACUGGUAGACCUUGGGAAUCAUUCCCACAGCUACGCUUGGCAUAGUGUGGAGAUUUGCCUCAAAUGCUCUGAUCCCAUCACAGUGUUUAUUCAAAAAUUUCCUUUAAAGGUCAUACAUCUUCACACCUGCAAGAAGUCACUUCUUCGCUAUCAAAACUCAGAUCUGCAUCUUCUUUCUAUUCAAAUUUUCCAGAUUCUUUGCUGGACUGAUAAACCACAGCACCAAUCUGUGAUUUAUUGUGAUGUUUGUGAUGUGUUUUUUCCUCAAACAUCAUUCGGACUGUUUGAUUUUUUAAAUCAUUCUAACUUGACAACCCAUAAUCUGGUACCCUCAAGUAAUUGUCAGAAUUGUGCAAUGCCAGAAGUCACAUUGAUGGGUAGCAACCUAGAGUGUUGUAUUAUUCAUUUUUGCACCAAAGAUUGCAAGUCAGUUCUUAAAGAAGUAAAAAAACAUAUUUAAAUUGGUGGAAGAGCACAGCCGAAUUAAGAGGUCUAUUCCAUAUAUUUUAUCAUAUUAUGUUUGAAUAAUUUCUAAUACACAUAUAUUUAAUUGUU